GCCAAAGUGGCGGAAUUGGUAGACGCGCUGGACUCAAAAUCCAGUGAUAGCAAUAUCGUGAGGGUUCGAUUCCCUCCUUUGGUA
rnacentral:tRNA from 1 species